CUUUUUUAUAGGACAGCAAUCUGGAUGAAAUUUAACAAAGGUGUUGCAAUGUUGAGGAGGGAAGAAAUUUCCCUCUACCCCUUGAGGUUCUUCCAGCUGGGCUAAGAAUUAAAUAGGCCUGAGUUUAACAGGAGAAAAUAAAAUUUAAUUUCAUAUGUAUGAGGAACCUACACAGACAUUAGACUCCAAACAUAGACAAAAUGAGAUGUAUAUGUCAUUCUGAACUGAGGAGAAGAGGGUAGUGGUCUGGAACUUCAAGGGAAAGGGAAAUAAUUAACAGGAACAUGAAAAAGAGCAAAUGUUUGGUAAACAAAUGUUUGAUGGGCUUUUCAGAAAUAAUGAGAUAUAGAGAGGAAUUUGAUCAAACAGGUCUUGCUAGGUUCCUCCCUGUCUACCAUACCUAGUUGAUAUUAUAAUGUAAUUAUCCACAUUGGGAGUUGUCUUCUUGGAGCAGGCCCUCUAUCUAGAUUCUUUUAGGCAGUUGAUAUGUGUGGUGGGGAGAGUUUCCAAAAUUUCUUCCUGAGUCUUCUAGUCCUCGAUUGUUUUCAGCUCAAAAUAAUCUCCAUGCCAACAUGGCAUAUCUUGGGGCCUCCUGCCCUCGGCCCCUACAGUAAUUUGAACAAAGGUGGUCACUUGUGAAAGAGAACAGGAAGAAUCCAUAGAUCUAAAGGACUGUGGAAUGGAGGAAUGGGAACAGAGCAACACAGUGGUUUACACUAAAUGCCACACUGGUCUUUUGCGAAAUGGAGUCUUUCCAGCCAAGAACGGGGAUCCCCAUGCCCAGUAUAGACUUGUGACAGACCUGAUUAUGAUGGUGAUGAGAGGGGCUACAGUAGGACACACUGUAAGAGAUGGCAACUAAAGGCAUUUUCCUGUAAGUUAUAUGAGUUUGUUCUGGAAGUGGAUUCCUUUUAUUCAGAAAAGUUCAGGAUGAGGCAAGUUGCAUGACAUCAGCACAACUUUUAGGAUUCUGUGAACCAUGCUUGUCUUUGAAUAUUCUACAUUAUUUUGGGAUUGCGUAAUGCAGGGCUUCUAGGUCAAGGAAUAGGCAAAAGGAAAACUCUGGAAGGAAUUAAAUUCUGCAUUAAAAGGUCUGGUUUUUAUUCUCUGACCAGGAAAAAUGCAGAAGGUGUAGGGUUGGAUUGGCUUCCUCUCCCCUUCCUCUUCCCGACCUUCUCCCUCUCUCCCUCAUUCACACACACACACACACCAGUACAAGAGUGAGAGAAUGAGAGAGAGAGGAGAAAAAAGCGUAUAGGAAUACUGGAGUUCAGCUCAAAUCCACAGAUGCUAGGAUAGUGGCUAAGAUACCAGUGCUUUAUACAAAAGUCUCCGUUGCCUCAUUCAACCCAGGGCACAGAGUAGAUGGGGGAUAUGCAGUCUCUAAUGGGAUGAGCAGAAAAACCUCUCUUGAAAAGCACAGUGAGUCCCAGCUUUCAACACUGUGGCAUAGCUCUGGAUUCCCCAGAGAAAAAGACAGCCAACAAAUCUAGCCUGCAAAGAGCAUUUAGGUUUUGGGAGACAGCUCAGAAUUGCCUCUAAGGCAAAGAGCAAAGCACAAACAGCACCAAAUACAUCACUCCCUUGCACAAAAUCAGAAGCAAGGGCACUCUUUCCCCAUGGCAGGGUGGGACUUCCCCUGCUGCCCUUUCACCAUCGUGAUCAGAAACACGAGUUUCUGAUAUAAAGGUCAGCAGCGUGCAGAGCUUGUUUCUACCCUGGUGAGAAGAGUUUUCCUUGACUGAAGGCAUCUAAUUGGUUGCUGAUGAGUCACAGAUGCUGAAGUCCACAGGCAGAAGCAUCUGAUUGGCUGUCCCCCUGUUUCAGCAUUCCCAGCCACCAGUUUGUGAUGAAUGGUGCAG
rnacentral:lncRNA from 12 species